rnacentral:rRNA from 1 species
CUACGGGAGGCUGCAGUGAGGAAUAUUGCACAAUGGGGGGAACCCUGAUGCAGCAACGCCGCGUGGAGGAUGACGCAUUUCGGUGUGUAAACUCCUUUUAUAUGUCAAGAAAAUGACGGUAGCAUAUGAAUAAGCACCGGCUAACUCCGUGCCAGCAGCCGCGGUAAUACGGAGGGUGCAAGCGUUACUCGGAAUCACUGGGCGUAAAGGACGCGUAGGCGGGUUGGAAAGUCAGGUGUGAAAUCCUACAGCUUAACUGUAGAACUGCACUUGAAAAUUCUAAUAUAGAGUAUGGGAGGGGGAGAUGGAAUUAGUGGUGUAGGGGUAAAAUCCGUAGAUAUCACUAGGAAUACCUAAAGCGAAGGCGAUCUCCUGGAACAUUACUGACGCUAAGGCGUGAAAGCGUGGGGAGCAAACAGGAUUAGAUACCCGAGUAGUC